UGACCCUUAUUAAGCCGAGGGUCACCUAGCCAACUGACGUUGUUAGUGAAUACAUUUUGUUCACAUGUUAUAUCAGCCAAUUGUAUUACUUACAGUUGGCUAUUUUUUU
rnacentral:sRNA from 1 species